UCAACUCAAAUCUGCCACCAAUAGUUACAUAUUCACAGGCUAGUUCAGUAAGUAGAACAUAAAAAUGCAGUUAGUAGUGUUAUUAAAAAUCGUGGAUCCUACGAAUACAAGCAACAAUUCGACUGUUAGAUUUGGGUGCGUCUCAGUGUGAAAUACAACGCGCUAUACCAAAGAUAGAAAAGAAAGAACAAACGUGACAGAAACGCAUAUUAGAGAGUGCAGCUAGUAAUCUCAAUAAGGAAAUGCGAUUGGACUCCGUGUUGUUUGAAAGUUAAGUUUUCAACAAUAGUGACAACCAAAAAAUGGGCGUUAGAAUGGUCGUUUACAGUAGGCAUUAGGAACCUUGGCGAAAAGGUCCCGUAGAAUUUGGGUGAACCUGCUACACAGAUGACACUCAACGCUUUUCUAAUUUGCUGGUGUGACGUCAAAUAACAUAACAUUAUAUGUAUGUGUAAGCAAGGCUUUCAUUUACUACUCCGUAGCAGCAAAAUUUCUAGAA